rnacentral:rRNA from 1 species
UGGGGAAUAUUGCACAAUGGGGGAAACCCUGAUGCAGCGACGUCGCGUGGAUGAUGAAGGCCGGAAGGUUGUAAAGUCCUUUUGGGCGCAAAGAAUAAGUACGCGAGGAAAUGCGCGUGCGGUGACGGUAGCGCCUGAAUAAGCAACGGCUAAUUACGUGCCAGCAGCCGCGGUAACACGUAAGUUGCGAGCGUUGUUCGGAAUUAUUGGGCGUAAAGGGCAUGUAGGCGGUCGUGCAAGCUUGGUGUGAAAUCCCGGGGCUCAACUCCGGGACUGCGUUGAGAACUGCACGGCUAGAGUAACUGAGGGGCAGCCGGAAUUCCAGGUGUAGGGGUGAAAUCUGUAGAUAUCUGGAAGAACACCAAUGGCGAAGGCAGGCUGCCAGCAGAUUACUGACGCUGAGGUGCGAAGGUGCGGGGAGCAAAC